CAGCAGACACAUUCCAGCCAAUCAGCAGCAGACCCUCCCUCUCAGACCCUCCCACCUCCUUGACAGCAUCCAUUUUACAUUCAUUGUGAAGCUGCAUUCUUAGUGAGCUGUCCAGGAGGUGGGAGGGUUUGGGAGGGAGGGUCUGCUGCUGAUUGGCUGGAAUGUGUCUGCU
rnacentral:miRNA from 1 species